rnacentral:tRNA from 3 species
GGAGAGGUGUCCGAGAGGCCGAAGGAACACGCUUGGAAAGCGUGUGAGUGGGCAACUGCUCCGGGGGUUCGAAUCCCCCCCUCUCCGCCA